UACGUAGGGGGCUAGCGUUGUUCGGAAUUACUGGGCGUAAAGGGCGCGUAGGCGGUCCGAUAAGUCCGCUGUGAAAGUCAACGGCUCAACUGUUGGAUGCCGGUGGAUACUGUCGGGCUAGAGUACGGAAGGGGCAAGUGGAAUUCCUGGUGUAGCGGUGGAAUGCGCAGAUAUCAGGAGGAACACCUAUAGCGAAGGCAGCUUGCUGGGACGUUACUGACGCUAAGGCGCGAAAGCGUGGGGAGCGAACAGG
rnacentral:rRNA from 1 species